GUCCAUGCCGUAAACGAUGUCUACUAGCCGUUGGGCCUUUGAGGCUUUAGUGGCGCAGCUAACGCGAUAAGUAGACCGCCUGGGAGUACGGUCGCAAGACUAAACUCAAAUGAAUUGACGGGGACCCGCACAAGCGGUGGAGCAUGUGGUUUAAUUCGAAGCAACGCGAAGAACCUUACCUGGUCUUGACAUAGUAAGAACUUUUCCAGAGAUGGAUUGGUGCCUUCGGGAGCUUACAUACAGGUGCUGCAUGGCUGUCGU
rnacentral:rRNA from 1 species